CCCCUUGGCCGCCGCCCCCCCUGCCCAUCUCCUCCUCUCUCAAUUCUUGCAGCCACCAAACCCUAGCCGCCCCCCCUCUCAAUUCCCUCCUCCCAAGGUGCCAAUUCUUGCCGCUCGGAUCAUCGUCGUCGUGGUGCGAGUCUUCAAUCGUUUUGGUGGAGGGAAGAAGGGAGAAAGGAAAGGGGGAGAAUCCAAGGUGAUUUUUGUGUUCAUCCCUUGUUCAUUUGCGCUGCAAUUUAAUUGAUUAGAGGUUGCGUUUGCGAUUGGGGUAGAGGGGGGCUGUCCAGAAUUUUAGGUGGUGGGUGAACAGCAGUAGUCUAGCAGUUUCUGUGUUUUUUUCGUGAGGAAUUAAGGGAAAUCAGUUUGGGGAUCAUGUAGAACUUUACCUUACCUUUCCAACGAGUAUUUAUGCGCUCAAUUUGGAGUUAUAAAUUGAAAGUUAUCACCAUUUUAAUCCGGGUAUGUGGCUGUCCAAAAAAAACAGAUUUUUCAGGGGAUGAACAGCAGCAGUAUUAGCAGUUUCUGGGGAUUUUUCGGAAGUAAUUAGUGUUAAUCAGUAUGAGAAUCAUGUAGGGCUUUAUGUUAUCUUUCCAACAAGUACUUAUGCGCUCAAUUCGGAGUUAUAAUUCAGGAGAUAUCGUUGUUUGAAUCCGGUUAUGUUGCUGUCCAAAAAAACAGAUUUUUCAGGUGGGUGAACAGCAGUGGUAUUAGCAGUUUCUGGGAAUUUUUCGUGGGUAAUUAGUGUUAACCAGUAUGGUAAUCAUGUAGGGAUUUGUCUUAUCUUUCCAAUGAGUACUUAUGCGCUUGAUUUGGAAUUAUAUUUUAAAAGAUAUCGCUGUUUGAAUCUGGGUAUGUCGCUGUCCAAAAGACAAAGAAAAAAACAGAUUAUAGAGUUCAUCUUGUGGACUGUUUUGGGCUAAUUAGAUAUUGGAAUUUAAUUAUAAAUUGUAUACAAAACUUGUGGGGAAUUUUAUGUAGAUGCCUCUGGAGUUUUUGUUUGUUACCACUGCUGUCAUAAUUUUAAAGUUAUGAAAUUAUUAAGCAGCGCCGCUGCAGUUUGGUGGGUGUAGGGAGAGAUGUAACCUGCGGCGGGGUUUGAGUUUGUGCGUAAGUGCGGCGUCGCUUAUGAGCCUGAUUAUGUGAAAUUGGUGUACUAAGUUGGGUGUCAAAAACAGGUGGUGGGCUUCCGGAUCGUACUUGGGAUUUGCCCGAACUUCCGGUAAAGGCAAGUAAAUACAGUGGUGGUUGCUACCGUUUGGUUUGCAUCCUAUUACCUGUCAUUGAGUAUGCAUAAGUUUUAAUUAUGUUAAUCAUUGAAUUCUAUGAUGAAGUUUAUUUGUUGGGAAGUAUUAAUUCUCAAUUGUCUAAUAUUGUGGAUGAUCAUAAUUUGGUAAUGAUAUAUGUGGUUGAUUCCCAUCUGGAUGAAGUUGAAGUGUCUUUUUGAAUCAUGUUAUAUAAAGUGUUGUAGGCAUGACAUGCACAUCGCAUCAUCCAUCUUGCAUUUUGAAGUUAUGUCGUGAUCUUAUGGUCCGACCGUACCGGUACAUUUUUAGCAUCGUACGUUGCCCGAGGAGGGGUACGAUGCGGCUUCAUAUCCUUAGAGGUAUGAAGGUAGAAGUCAUCCUUGCAUUUGCAGACAUUUGCACUCAUGAGGAAUAUAUGAAGUGUGACAUUACUAUGUUACUAUUGUGGUUUCUAUCUGCGAGGUGUGGCAACUAGGUGCGUUGUACGUUGUAUACGUGCUGCACCUUCGUAAUAAGAAGGUUGUGGAAUUAAGUGGUGGUAAAACAAUGUUCUUAUGUGGUUAAACUGUUUGAUAUUAUUUUACUUGCUGAGAUGUGUCAUCUCACUCUUGCAUUACUCAAUGCAGGUACUUGAUACAUGUUGGGAAUGAGGGGAGUAGCAGCACGUCCACUUUCACUCUCACAAUAACGCUGCCUAGGCGCAGCCAUGAUUUAAUUAGAAACUUAUUGUCAAAGGAAGUUUGUUUAUUUUUUUUAUAUGGUCGUGCGCACUGGUUAAUUCAGUUCAGGUCGUAUGUUUAUCUUUCCUUGCUAGCCGAGUAAUAAUACUUAGUAUGUUUUAGUCAUGAUAUAUGUUUAUACUCUGUUGCUCCCUCUUUUAUGCAAUCUUGCAAAGGGGAUGCUGCCAAAAUUUUAUAUAUGGACGUCGGAAGUGUAGUACAGUAGCAUACCGGGUUGUUUGUGG
rnacentral:lncRNA from 1 species